CAAAAGUUUGGUCCUGACUUUACUAUCAACUCUAGCUAAAUUUACACAUGCAAGUAUCCGCGCCCCUGUGAGAAUGCCCUUCAUUCCCUGCUCGGGAAUAAGGAGCUGGUAUCAGGCACACUUAAAUGAAGCCCACGACACCUUGCUCAGCCACACCCUCAAGGGAAUCCAGCAGUGAUAGACAUUAAGCCAUGAGUGAAAACUUGACUUAGUUAAUGCUAUGCCGGGCCGGUAAAACUCGUGCCAGCCACCGCGGUUAUACGAGAGGCCCAAGUUGUUAGUUGUCGGCGUAAAGAGUGGUUAAGACAAAAAUAAACUAAAGCCGAAUGCCCUCAGAACUGUUAUACGUUCCCGAAGGUAAGAAGCCCAACUACGAAAGUGGCUUUAUGAGAUCUGAUCCCACGAAAGCUAGGGUACAAACUGGGAUUAGAUACCCCACUAUGCCUAGCCGUAAACAUCGACAGUCCACCACGCCCACUGUCCGCCCGGGGACUACGAGCACCAGCUUAAAACCCAAAGGACUUGGCGGUGCUUUAGAUCCACCUAGAGGAGCCUGUCCUAGAACCGAUAAUCCCCGUUAAACCUCACCCCUCCUUGUUUCUCCCGCUUAUAUACCACCGUCGCCAGCUUACCCUGUGAAGGCCUAAUAGUAAGCAAAAUCGGCACAACCCAAAACGUCAGGUCGAGGUGUAGCGUAUGGAGGGGGAAGAGAUGGGCUACAUUCACUAAUGCAGUGAACACGAAUGGUCACUCUGAAAUGAGUAUCUGAAGGAGGAUUUAGCAGUAAGCAAAAAACAGAGUGUUUUGCUGAAGUUGGCUCUAAAGCGUGCACACACCGCCCGUCACUCUCCCCGAGCUAUCGCGAUAAAAAUAACUAAAACCCUAAAACUGUAAAGGGGAGGCAAGUCGUAACAUGGUAAGUGUACCGGAAGGUGCACUUGGAAAAACC
rnacentral:ncRNA from 1 species